AUUGAACGCUGGCGGCAGGCCUAACACAUGCAAGUCGAGCGGAUGAAGGGAGCUUGCUCCUGGAUUCAGCGGCGGACGGGUGAGUAAUGCCUAGGAAUCUGCCUGGUAGUGGGGGAUAACGUCCGGAAACGGGCGCUAAUACCGCAUACGUCCUGAGGGAGAAAGGGGGGGAUCUUCGGACCUCACGCUAUCAGAGGAGCCUAGGUCGGAUUAGCUAGUUGGUGGGGUAAAGGCCUACCAAGGCGACGAUCCGUAACUGGUCUGAGAGGAUGAUCAGUCACACUGGAACUGAGACACGGUCCAGACUCCUACGGGAGGCAGCAGUGGGGAAUAUUGGACAAUGGGCGAAAGCCUGAUCCAGCCAUGCCGCGUGUGUGAAGAAGGUCUUCGGAUUGUAAAGCACUUUAAGUUGGGAGGAAGGGCAGUAAGUUAAUACCUUGCUGUUUUGACGUUACCAACAGAAUAAGCACCGGCUAACUUCGUG
rnacentral:rRNA from 1 species